CAGAGAACUUGCCCUUCGGGGUAGAUCUCCCACCCUUUGUUUACAAUACCAUUGUUGCUUUGGCAGGCCCGUCUUCGGACCACCGGCUUCGGCUGGUCAGUGUCUGCCAGAGGACCCAAAACUCUGAAUGUUAGUGUCGUCUGAGUACUAUACAAUAGUUA
rnacentral:misc_RNA from 1 species